AGUUUGAUCCUGGCUCAGGAUGAACGCUAGCUACAGGCUUAACACAUGCAAGUCGAGGGGCAGCGGGAUUGAAGCUUGCUUCAAUUGCCGGCGACCGGCGCACGGGUGAGUAACGCGUAUCCAACCUUCCGUACACUCAGGGAUAGCCUUUCGAAAGAAAGAUUAAUACCUGAUGGUAUGAUGAGAUUGCAUGAUAGCAUCACUAAAGAUUUAUCGGUGUACGAUGGGGAUGCGUUCCAUUAGGUAGUAGGCGGGGUAACGGCCCACCUAGCCAACGAUGGAUAGGGGUUCUGAGAGGAAGGUCCCCCACAUUGGAACUGAGACACGGUCCCAAACUCCUACGGGAGGCAGCAGUGAGGAAUAUUGGUCAAUGGACGAGAGUCUGAACCAGCCAAGUAGCGUGAAGGAUGAAGGUCCUACGGAUUGUAAACUUCUUUUAUAAGGGAAUAAACCCUCCCACGUGUGGGAGCUUGUAUGUACCUUAUGAAUAAGCAUCGGCUAACUCCGUGCCAGCAGCCGCGGUAAUACGGAGGAUGCGAGCGUUAUCCGGAUUUAUUGGGUUUAAAGGGAGCGCAGACGGGUCGUUAAGUCAGCUGUGAAAGUUUGGGGCUCAACCUUAAAAUUGCAGUUGAUACUGGCGUCCUUGAGUGCGGUUGAGGUGUGCGGAAUUCGUGGUGUAGCGGUGAAAUGCUUAGAUAUCACGAAGAACUCCGAUUGCGAAGGCAGCACACUAAUCCGUAACUGACGUUCAUGCUCGAAAGUGUGGGUAUCAAACAGGAUUAGAUACCCUGGUAGUCCACACGGUAAACGAUGGAUACUCGCUGUUGGCGAUAUACUGCCAGCGGCUUAGCGAAAGCGUUAAGUAUCCCACCUGGGGAGUACGCCGGCAACGGUGAAACUCAAAUGAAUUGAC
rnacentral:rRNA from 1 species